rnacentral:rRNA from 1 species
AACGAACGCUGGCGGCAGGCUUAACACAUGCAAGUCGAGCGAAGACUUCGGUCUUAGCGGCGGACGGGUGAGUAACGCGUGGGAACGUGCCUUUUGCUACGGAAUAGCCCCGGGAAACUGGGAGUAAUACCGUAUACGCCCUUUGGGGGAAAGAUUUAUCGGCAAGAGAUCGGCCCGCGUUGGAUUAGGUAGUUGGUGGGGUAAUGGCCUACCAAGCCGACGAUCCAUAGCUGGUUUGAGAGGAUGAUCAGCCACACUGGGACUGAGACACGGCCCAGACUCCUACGGGAGGCAGCAGUGGGGAAUCUUAGACAAUGGGGGCAACCCUGAUCCAGCCAUGCCGCGUGAACGAUGAAGGCCUUAGGGUUGUAAAGCUCUUUCAACGGUGAAGAUAAUGACGGUAGCCGGAGAAGAAACCCCGGCUAACUCCGUGCCAG